GCGCACCAGUCGAGAAACCUUCGCAAUGCGGGAAACCGCGACGAGGGGACUCCCAGUGCCUACGCUCAGCGUAGGCUGUUCCCGAGCCUAGAAAGCUCGGGGAGUAAGGGCUGGGUAAGACGGGUGCCAGCCGCCGCGGUAAUACCCGCAGCCCGAGUGGUGGCCACUAUUAUUGGGCCUAAAGCGUCCGUAGCCGGCCCGGUAAAUGCCUGGGUAAAUCGUGAGGCCUAACCUCACGAAUUCCGGGUAGACUGCCGGGCUAGGGACCGGAGGAGGGAGAGGGUACUCCGAGGGGUAGGGGUGAAAUCCUGUAAUCCCUGGAGGACCACCGGUGGCGAAGGCGCUCUCCUAGGACGGGUCCGACGGUGAGGGACGAAAGCCGAGGGGAGCGAACCGGAUUAGA
rnacentral:rRNA from 1 species